CACGGGCAGGCGAGGCGCGGCCGCGGAGCUGCGCCGCUGCGGGCCGCGGCCAUGCCCAAGCGGGGCUGCCCCUUCGCGGACGCGGCCCCGCUGCAGCUCAAGGUGCGUGUGGGCCGGAGGGAGCUGAGUCGCGGCGUGUGCGCCGAGCGCCUCACGCGGGAGAUCUUCGAAAAGACCACGCAGCUCCUCUUCCGCGGGGCCCAGGCCUGCAUGGACCCCGCGUGGGAGGAAGCCUGCGCCAUCGUCCAUACCCCGGAGUCCCCGAAGCCUGGCCCCACAGAAGCCCCUCGGGCCGCACGCGGGCAGAUGCUGAUCGGGCCCGACGGCCGACUGACCAGGAGUCGAGCCCAGGCCUCCGAAGCUGACCCAGCCAUGGCGGCAUCGGGAGCCUGCUCGUCGUGCGUGCGGGCUGUGGACGGGAAGGCGGCGUGCGGCCAGUGCGAGCGGGCCCUGUGCGGGCGCUGCGUGCGCACCUGCUGCGGCUGUGGGGCAGUGGCCUGUGCCCUGUGUGCCCUCGUGGACUGAGACGGGCAGGGCCUUGCCAGUGGCUUUUCCCUGGAGGGGGAGCUGAGCACAGCACAAGGGCCAGCUGAGGGGCCAGCUGCAGUGACCUCCACGAGAAAGUGCUGUGCGCCAGCUGCGCCAUGUUCGAGGCCUGAGGCCAGGAGAGGACGGCAGCCCUGCCUGGACGACCUCACCGCCGUCCACGCUGAGGGACUGGGGGGAGGGGCGGGAAGGGACAGCCUUUCUAUUUUGUAUUUUGUUCUCCUGACCACAGAAGAGAAUAAACCCUUUAUAUUUGGACAA